GGGGAAUAUUGGACAAUGGGGGCAACCCUGAUCCAGCAAUGCCGCGUGUGUGAAGAAGGUCUUCGGAUUGUAAAGCACUUUCGACGGGGACGAUGAUGACGGUACCCGUAGAAGAAGCCCCGGCUAACUUCGUGCCAGCAGCCGCGGUAAUACGAAGGGGGCUAGCGUUGCUCGGAAUGACUGGGCGUAAAGGGCGUGUAGGCGGUUUACACAGUCAGAUGUGAAAUCCCCGGGCUUAACCUGGGAGCUGCAUUUGAUACGUGUAGACUAGAGUGUGAGAGAGGGUUGUGGAAUUCCCAGUGUAGAGGUGAAAUUCGUAGAUAUUGGGAAGAACACCGGUGGCGAAGGCGGCAACCUGGCUCAUGACUGACGCUGAGGCGCGAAAGCGUGGGGAGCAAACAGGAUUAGAUACCCUGGUAGUCCACGCCUGUAAACGAUGUGUGCUAGAUGUUGGGUAACUUUG
rnacentral:rRNA from 1 species